rnacentral:rRNA from 1 species
UCCGGGGGGGGUAAGCGUUGUUCGGAAUUACUGGGCGUAAAGGGCUCGUAGGCGGCCAACUAAGUCAGACGUGAAAUCCCUCAGCUUAACUGGGGAACUGCGUCUGAUACUGGAUGGCUUGGAUUCGGGAGAGGAAUGCGGAAUUCCAGGUGUAGCGGUGAAAUGCGUAGAUAUCUGGAGGAACACCGGUGGCGAAGGCGGCAUCCUGGACCGAGAUUGACACUGAUGAGCGAAAGCUAGGGGAGCAAACGGG